rnacentral:rRNA from 1 species
CUGCCCGGUAGCUAAAUGCGGAAGAGAUAAGUGCUGAAAGCAUCUAAGCACGAAACUUGCCCCGAGAUGAGUUCUCCCUGAGACUUAGAGUCUCCUGAAGGAACGUUGAAGACGACGACGUGAUAGGCCGGGUGUGUAAGCGCAGCGAUGCGUUGAGCUAACCGGUACUAAUGAACCGUGAGGCUUAACCUUACAACGCCGAAG